GCUCUUUUGUCAGGGAAGAAACGGCGGGUUCUAAUACAGCUCGCUAAUGACGGUACCUGAAGAAUAAGCACCGGCUAACUACGUGCCAGCAGCCGCGGUAAUACGUAGGGUGCAAGCGUUAAUCGGAAUUACUGGGCGUAAAGCGUGCGCAGGCGGUUAUAUAAGUCAGAUGUGAAAUCCCCGGGCUCAACCUGGGAACUGCAUUUGAGACUGUAUGGCUAGAGUGUGUCAGAGGGGGGUAGAAUUCCACGUGUAGCAGUGAAAUGCGUAGAGAUGUGGAGGAAUACCGAUGGCGAAGGCAGCCCCCUGGGAUAACACUGACGCUCAUGCACGAAAGCGUGGGGAGCAAACAGGAUUAGAUACCCUGGUAGUCCACGCCCUAAACGAUGUCUACUAGUUGUCGGGACUUAAUUGUCUUGGUAACGCAGCUAACGCGUGAAGUAGACCGCCUGGGGAGUACGGUCGCAAGAUUAAAACUCAAAGG
rnacentral:rRNA from 1 species